rnacentral:misc_RNA from 1 species
AAGUCGUAACAAGGUUUCCGUAGGUGAACCUGCGGAAGGAUCAUUACAAAUCAUGGCGAACCUCGCGUUUCGCGAGGUCUUGCGUCCAUUUUCGUAUUUAAAACAUCCCACUCUAAAAAAAAAUAUUAUCUAAUGAUAAAAAUAAAAAGAUCACUUUCAACAACGGAUCUCUUGGCUCUC